CUCCCAGGGCGGGGCUAAUGGGCGCGCAUUCACAACAUGCGCGUGAAUGGUCCAGUGAUUUCCCGUUUCGACCCUUGCGGGUGCGUGACUUCUUUUUGCCACUCUAAAUUUUUGCAUGCAUGGAGAAAAUUGCACCGGCCUAUUUGGUAAGCAAUUAUUCUCGUAUUAUGGUAAGUGCACAAACGACAAGUAAUUACCAUAAUGCUGUGAUUGAGUGGCUAAUUGCUUUCCUUAGCUACGACGCAUGUAUAAAUAUGGGGC
rnacentral:lncRNA from 1 species